rnacentral:lncRNA from 1 species
UUUUAACCUAUUGCAUCUUUCGCUGUUAAAAAUUGUGUAUUUCAUAUAUUUUUGUUUGUUUACUUCGAAAUUAUUUUAAUAAGAAUCUGUAAAAUAACCCUUUUCGGACCUUACACUAAAGGCUCCGCCUACUUUUUAAAACUAUCACGGGCUUCAGAAACAGCGGGUAAUCAGUUUGAAAAGAUUUUUCGACAGCGAUGAAUGCAUCUUUACAUUGGUGACAAAAAAACUGUUUUAGAUGUUCUGGAUAAGGACAC